rnacentral:tRNA from 1 species
GCGCUCGUAGCUCAGCUGGAUAGAGCAACGGCCUUCUAAGCCGUAGGUCGCAGGUUCAAGUCCUGCCGGGCGCGCCA